rnacentral:rRNA from 1 species
AUGAAGAGAAAAAUCAAAAAUUAAAAAUUCAAGGGAUGAUCCCAUCUGAUCUCAGAAGCUAAGCAGGGUCGGGCCUGGUUAGUACUUGGAUGGGAGACCACCUCGAAAGACCAGGUGCUGUAGAUG